CCUACGGGAGGCUGCAGUAGGGAAUAUUGCUCAAUGGGGGAAACCCUGAAGCAGCAACGCCGCGUGGAGGAUGAAGGUUUUCGGAUUGUAAACUCCUUUUGUUAGAGAAGAUAAUGACGGUAUCUAACGAAUAAGCACCGGCUAACUCCGUGCCAGCAGCCGCGGUAAUACGGAGGGUGCAAGCGUUACUCGGAAUCACUGGGCGUAAAGAGCGCGUAGGCGGGAUAGCAAGUGCGAUGUGAAAGUCUAGGGUUUAACCAUAGAACUGCAUUUGAAACUGUUAUUCUCGAGUAUGGGAGAGGUAGGUGGAAUGCUUGGUGUAGGGGUAAAAUCCGUAGAGAUCAAGAGGAAUACUCAUUGCGAAGGCGACCUACUAGAACAUAACUGACGCUGAUGCGCGAAAGCGUGGGGAGCAAACAGGAUUAGAUACCCGGGUAGUC
rnacentral:rRNA from 1 species